rnacentral:rRNA from 1 species
UACAGAGGUCCCGAGCGUUGUUCGGAUUCAUUGGGCGUAAAGGGUGCGUAGGCGGCGGGGCAAGUCUGAUGUGAAAUCCCGGGGCUCAACCCCGGAACUGCAUUGGAUACUGCCUUGCUAGAGUACUGGAGAGGGAAGCGGAAUUCCGGGUGUAGCGGUGAAAUGCGUAGAUAUCCGGAGGAACACCGGUGGCGAAGGCGGCUUCCUGGACCGACACUGACGCUGAGGCGCGAAAGCUAGGGGAGCAAACGGG